CCUACGGGAGGCAGCAGUGGGGAAUUUUGGACAAUGGGCGAAAGCCUGAUCCAGCAAUGCCGCGUGAGUGAAGAAGGCCUUCGGGUUGUAAAGCUCUUUUGUCAGGGAAGAAACGGUGAAAGCUAAUAUCUUUUGCUAAUGACGGUACCUGAAGAAUAAGCACCGGCUAACUACGUGCCAGCAGCCGCGGUAAUACGUAGGGUGCAAGCGUUAAUCGGAAUUACUGGGCGUAAAGCGUGCGCAGGCGGUUUUGUAAGUCUGAUGUGAAAUCCCCGGGCUCAACCUGGGAAUUGCAUUGGAGACUGCAAGGCUAGAAUCUGGCAGAGGGGGGUAGAAUUCCACGUGUAGCAGUGAAAUGCGUAGAUAUGUGGAGGAACACCGAUGGCGAAGGCAGCCCCCUGGGUCAAGAUUGACGCUCAUGCACGAAAGCGUGGGGAGCAAACAGGAUUAGAUACCCUGGUAGUCCACGCCCUAAACGAUGUCUACUAGUUGUCGGGUCUUAAUUGACUUGGUAACGCAGCUAACGCGUGAAGUAGACCGCCUGGGGAGUACGGUCGCAAGNUUAAAACUCAAAGAGUAGUAGGACGUGAGACGUGCGACGGAGACGACAGGGAGGAGG
rnacentral:rRNA from 1 species